rnacentral:rRNA from 1 species
UUUCCGUAGGUGAACCUGCGGAAGGAUCAUUGUCGAAACCUACAAAGACAGAACGACCCGCGAAUCGGUGAAACUUUAUUUAUUUGGGAUACGUGCCCUCGGGCAAGUCUCCCAGAGUCCUGAGCGAAGGAUGUGGUCGAAAUCCACGUCCUCCGCUACGGGAAAAACGAACAAACCCCGGCGCAGGUCGCGCCAAGGAAAACAAAGGAAGGAUGCGCUCUCCUCGUUCGCCCCGGAAGGGGUGCGUUGGGAGUCACAUCGUCGUUAUCAUAUUCAAAACGACUCUCGGCAACGGAUAUCUCGGCUCUCGCAUCGAUGAAGAACGUAGCGAAAUGCGAUACUUGGUGUGAAUUGCAGAAUCCCGUGAACCAUCGAGUUUUUGAACGCAAGUUGCGCCCAAAGCCGUCAGGCUGAGGGCACGCCUGCCUGGGCGUCACGAAAAGUCGCCGAACCUCCCUCACCCCUCACGAGUAGGAGUGGCGAGGGAUGGCGGACAUUGGCCUCCCGGGCGCUCGUGCGCGUGGUUGGCCCAAAUAUUCGGUCUGCCCGCUAGGCGGCCACGACACACGGUGGUUGAAAGCACGCGCUCUCCUCGAACACCGUCGUGGCGAGCCUCGUUUAUGGGGAGCCAGAGACCCCGACGCGGAGCGUCACCACUAAGCGACCCCAGGUCAGGCGGGAACACCCGCUGAGUUUAAG